rnacentral:misc_RNA from 1 species
GAUGAAGAACGUAGCGAAAUGCGAUAAGUAGUGUGAAUUGCAGAAUUCAGUGAAUCAUCGAAUCUUUGAACGCACAUUGCGCCCCCUGGUAUUCCGGGGGGCAUGCCUGUUCGAGCGUCAUUUCACCACUCAAGCCUCGCUUGGUAUUGGGCAACGCGGUCCGCCGCGUGCCUCAAAUCGACCGGCUGGGUCUUCUGUCCCCUAAGCGUUGUGGAAACUUUCGCUAAAGGGUGUUCGGGAGGCUACGCCGUAAAACAACCCCAUUUCUAAGGUUGACCUCGGAUCAGGUAGGGAUACCCGCUGAAUUUAAGCAUAUCAAUAAGCGGAGGA